rnacentral:lncRNA from 1 species
AUGGACUGUCUCUGUCUGCGUCAGAGCUCACAGGUCCGCCCGACUCACAUCCAAGUACCAACCAAUCCGAGCCUGCAGGGAGCUGACGAGUUUGGGUGUGUUCACUUUCACUUUGGACUCAGCUGUAACACUUUCCUGACUGUUCAAGCAGGAGGACAGUCAGACCAACUCUGAGGUGACAUAAAGAUCUCUGGAUCAGACUGUACGUGACUGACAAUGGAUGUGGAAAGAAGCAAGCCGACACCAAGUCCUGGAGGAAGUGAACCAGCGUAAGUAAUUAUGUUACUUUGCAGUUGUAGUAUAUUUUAGCUCAUCUGCAGCUGUGUGUCCAGAAAGAACGUCUCAAACUACAUGGCUUUGUAUGUCAAAGGAUGUGUGUAUGAACAGAGACGUCUUGGUGCGUUCAAGUGCACCUACCUUAAUUGUAAAUUACACAUGUACAGUUGUUUGUCAUAGAAGUCUAACAGUAGCAUAGUCUGAAGUACUGGAAACAUUUUUGAAUCAAAAGUCAAACUGAAUCGUGCGUUUGGAGAAUCAUGACACUCUGAGUCACUAGAUAAUCCUCCAUCAUUAAAAUGUUCCUGCAUCUAUGGACAUUUUGUUCAUUCACACAUUACAUACACAAACUCCUUUAUCCAUUUUCUCACACUGUUAUCAUAAUGAGGAUAAGUUAUACAAGCUUUAAUAGUAAUUUACAUGCACAUUGUGAGAAACAUAAAUAAGAUGAUUGCAGGUGUUUGUUUGUGUGUUUCUUCCUUCCAGAGUCUCUGUGGAAAAUCAGCAUUGUGCCUCUACUGAGAGUGACGGACGAGAUGGUCACACUAAGGAGUUAAAUGAGAGAAAUUCCUCUUCUAAAAGGAGGUACGUUUGAACUAAUCAUCACAUUAUUAUAGUGGUUAUUAAUACAUAACUUUCACAGAGUAUUAAAAGUUAGGAACAUUUUGAACAGUCACAUACAGAACCUCUGCUGUCUUCUUCUACACUUUAUCAUAUUAUCAAGUAACAUAACUUACAGUCACAUCAUAACAAUGAUUAUUACUCACUGCAGGGUGGGAGAUGGUUCUCGAGUUGGUUUGAAAGAACAACAUGGAGUUGUAAAGGUGUAUAUUUACAGUUUUCAGACUGUCUGUGAGUCAAAUACUUGUUAGGGCAUCUAUUAACCUCAUUUUGCAUUCUUACAUACAGUCCAGAGAGUUAAUGCAGCAUCUAUGUAUAUAUAUGUGUUUCUAUGGUUUGACCCAAUACGAAGUAUGUUGAAUGCAGUAUGCCACAAAUACCAGGAUGUCCUACUACACCUGGUUGCAUUUUGCAGUGUGCAAACCAACAUGACACCAUUCUGACAGAGAGCCGGGCAGCUCCUGUAGUUUACUGCUGAUGAUUAUGUGACCAGAUUUAGAGCAAAACACUUGAACUCACAUGUGUUUGUCGUCUUUCACUGUUGUGUUGUUGUAGUUACUGUCUCUGGCACAGUGUUGUGGAAUCUCUGUCUGAAAACAGCUCAUGUUUGUUAUGUUCUGACAGGUCACAUUCCCCACCAAUGAAUUUCAAAGAAGGACCUGCCUGGUAAGCUUUUAUCAACAUACAUUCAUUAACAUUUAACACACACAUACAUAGCUUAUAAUAUUAGUAUAUAGUUUAUUACAUUUCAGACUAUUUCCUCUAUUUAACUACAAUCUGCUGUAAUUAGAUGUGUGAUGAGAUGAUAGUAGGUGGAUAGCAGCAGCUUGUGGUGAAGAAGGAAGCUUUUACUAACUGAAUGUUUUGUAUAGUUGCACUACAUGUCCAACCUCUCACCUUAUUCUUCACACUCCUCACUAUCAUAUUUAAAUCCUGCUGAGUUUUUGCUUUCAACAUUUCUUUUCAUUCUGAUGAUGUAGCCUGAUAACAGUGCUGAUUAUUUGCUGCAGGUCAGUCAGAGUCUGAUCUGUUUACCUCAUAUUUAUUCUUUCACACACUUCUUAAAUUACGUCUGUAACUUCUUAAGUUACAGACGUGUGAUUUGUGUUUACCACAGUGUUGUUGCAUUCAGAAACUCUGGGGGGCGCCAACAUGCACAAAGGGCCAGUUUCUACAUAAUGUUGCUUUAAAACCGGCCUGAUACUUCCUUUGUUAUGUAGACUCAUCUCUUCAUGUUGGAUGUGAUUGUGUGUUGUAACAAUUAUCUGAGACUUGGGACCAAUCAUUCAUAGAUAACUGCAACAUUAGUACAUUUUUCAGACGUCACCUUCUUGUUAUUUUGUCGAAAAUGUGUUUCUUAAAUAAGCUUCAUUAAACUGACAAAUUCACAGCAUGUUAUCUUGAUAUAAAAUGAAAUAUGCCAUGAUAAACAUUUGUAUCCAUAUUACUAACCUGCACUUUAAAUAACAUCCUGUGUUUCUUUUACAAAAAGCAAUGGGAUAGAUCUCCCAACUGCCCAGAAGUCUGUUGAUGGAGUCGGGAUGAAACCCUUUUGAGGGACCUGCCAGGAGCUACUUCCACUGGUCUGCUGCUGCUGCUGGUGGCAGUCCUGUAUAACUUCACCAAAAAAAAGGUCCUUUAAAUGAAUAAAGUCGAAACUAUCAUUAGGCAUUCACACCGCCGUUUGGAUGCGGGGAUCCUGCGCCAUUUCUCCUCCUCUGUAUGAAUGUCUCGACAGCGGCGAGGGCUGAAAUCUAGCUCCGGUGCUGACCCGCCUCUGGAGGUAUCAGAGGUCCAGUAUUUGCGGCAAAAAAACUUGAACUUUAUUACACCAAGUGUUUGUGUUGAAAAAAAAAUCACUGCGAUGGUCAGCCCUCCAGACUGAGACUUCAGAGUUACAGUAGUCCAUGUGGGAGAUGACCAAGAGUUGCGACUUGUCCGUCGUGAGGAACAACCGGAUCCUGCAGAUGUCUUAGAGGGCAAAUCUGCAGGAUCGGGAUGAAGAGGAGUUCAGUUUUACUAAGGUUGAGUUUGAGGUGAUGUGCAGUUGUCCAAGUGGAAAUCUCUGCCAGACAUUCAGAGAUGUACAUCACAAUGUGGGUGUUAGAGGAAGAUGGGGAAAAUUGUGAGUAACAGUUGGGUCCCUCAAGACUCCUUAUACUGAACCUUGAGGGACGCCAGUUUCCAGAAGGCAGCAUUUGGAAGAGGAGCUGUUCCAUGUGACCUGAAAGGUGCGAUUUGUCAGGUAUGAUGUGAACCAGGUUAGAGCAGAGUCAGAGAUGCCAAGUUCAGCCAGAGAGGAGAGGAGGAUUUGGUGGUUGAUUGUGUCAAAAGCAGAAAAUAAAUUGAAGAGAAUGAGGACUGACGAGUUGGACGAGGCUCUGGAGGCAACUUGUGGAAACAAGGUCAAGUUGGUUCCCGGCCCGGUGGGGAGAUGAAAGAAGCCCAGCAGAAUAUCAGAUAUGUCAGAUCACCAAGUUUUACUGUAUAUCUUGAAACAAAAAAGUUAUUCCUGAGCAUGUGGAUAUAUGUUUGUGUGUGUGUUUGUAUGUAUAUAUGUAUAUAAUUAUAUUAUAUAUUAUAUAGUUACUGAAAGAUAUAGUAUAUAUUUCCUGCUGCCACAAUGAGAACACAAUGUGAUGACGCUGCAAAGUUCUUAUGGCUUCAUGUUCUUCAUUUUAAACAACAACUACUGCCGGUGAAAAUCUCUCUUUGAGUUUUAUUCCCUGAAUGUUUCGUGUCAUUCAGCAGUUUCGUUCUCAUUCUGACGUUCUCCCAGAAGUUGUAGCAACAGGCAACCAAACGUUACAGUGUUACCUCGAGGUUAAACAUCACUGAACAUAUUGGGUACAAUGUCAACACACAGCUCCACAGAAUAAAUGACAAAGUUGUAGUUGUUUGUUAUGCAGAUUUUCUUAUAAAAAGAAAAAGCCGUUCAAGUUCUGUUUAGGUGAAUUCAGCUGAUGUAAUAGUUUGGUAAAAUGUACAUUAGCUCCCCCAGCUGGAAGAUGAUGUCAUUUUACUGUUACAAGAAAUUAUCAAACUUCUCUUUUCUGUAAUCUGAAGAUCUAAUAUAAUAAAGUAUUAAUGAUUGUGCUUCCUGUGUUUUAAGAACAUGUUGCUUAAAAGUGAAGAUAAUUAUCUUGCAACUACGUUAUUACUUAAGUUAAUGUACUUUAUUAUUUUCCACUUGUAGUUGGACAACAACACAAUGAAGAUGGUCAAGUAUUUAAUUUAAUUUUGUUAAAUUUUAUCUCACUUUAUUCUAUUUGGAUUUAUUUAUUAUUUAUUCCCUGCGGCAGUCAGAGCCCUGAACUCUGCACUCUGAACACUUUUAGUCAUAUUGUAUUUGUUGUAUUCUAUUGUAUUUUAUUUUACUACAGUUGAGCACAGAAGUACAGUACAAGUCACAAAAACAUUUCACUACGCAUCCUGUAUGAGUAUGUGACAAAUAAACCUUUAAAUGUUGAAUCUUGAAUCUCUAUUUUAUUAUAUCUUAUUUUCAUUCUAUCUUUUAUUUUCAUUUGACCUUAUUUUUUAAUUUCAUUUUAUCGUUUUUGCUGUAUCUUUAUUUAAUUCU